rnacentral:rRNA from 1 species
AUUGAACGCUGGCGGCAUGCUUUACACAUGCAAGUCGAACGGUAACAGGCCGCAAGGUGCUGACGAGUGGCGAACGGGUGAGUAAUGCAUCGGAACGUGCCCAGUCGUGGGAGAUAACGCAGCGAAAGCUGCGCUAAUACCGCAUACGAUCUAUGGAUGAAAGCGGGGGACCGUAAGGCCUCGCGCGAUUGGAGCGGCCCAUGUCAGAUUAGGUGGUUGGGGGGGUAAAGGCUCACCAAGCCGACGAUCUGUAGCUGGUCUGAGAGGACGACCGGCCACACUGUGACGGAGACACGGCCCAGACUCCUACGGGAGGCAGCAGUGGGGAAUUUUGGACAAUGGGGGCAACCCUGAUCCAGCAAUGCCGCGUGCAGGAAGAAGGCCUUCGGGUUGUAAACGGCUUUUGUACGGAACGAAACGGCUCUGGUUAAUACCCGGGGCUAAUGACGGUACCGUAAGAAUAAGCACCGGCUAACUACGUGCCAGCAGCCGCCGUAA